GCAAACUUGGUCAUUUAGAGGAAGUAAAAGUCGUAACAAGGUUUCCGUAGGUGAACCUGCGGAAGGAUCAUUAACGCGCCGUGGAGGUUGCCUUUAAACAGGUCUGACCUUCCACCUGGCCACCCUUGUUUAUCUUUAACCUGUUGCUUUGGUGGGCCCGCUGCAAGGCCGCUGGAGAAUUUAAAAGUUUUCUGGCCCGUGCCCACCAAAGUCCUAAUGAACUCUUUGUUAAUUUUCUGCUGUCUGAGCAUUAAAAGAAGCAAUUUUUAAAACUUUCAACAACGGAUCUCUUGGUUCUGGCAUCGAUGAAGAACGCAGC
rnacentral:misc_RNA from 1 species